UGAAUUGACGGUACCUGCAAAGGAAGCACCGGCUAACUCCGUGCCAGCAGCCGCGGUAAUACGGAGGGUGCGAGCGUUAAUCGGAAUUACUGGGCGUAAAGCGCUCGUAGGCGGUAUGUCAAGUCAAGGGUGAAAUCCCCGCGCUCAACGUGGGAACUGCCUUUGAAACUGGCAAACUGGAGUGUGUGAGAGGAUAGUGGAAUUCCAGGUGUAGGAGUGAAAUCCGUAGAUAUCUGGAGGAACAUCAGUGGCGAAGGCGACUAUCUGGCACAUAACUGACGCUGAGGAGCGAAAGCGUGGGUAGCAAAC
rnacentral:rRNA from 1 species